rnacentral:precursor_RNA from 17 species
AAACGCAAGGAUUGAGGAAGUUAGUUGUUAUCUUUGGUUAUCUAGCUGUAUGAGUGUAUUUGCCCGUCAUAAAGCUAGAUAACCGAAAGUAAAAACUGCUUCUAGGGUCUUCGAGGAGCUU